rnacentral:lncRNA from 1 species
AAAUUUAAAGAAAAUUUUUCAUUAUUCCUCAUCUUCUUCACGGAAAAGAAAGAAAAAAGCUAGGGUUUUCCAACUUUGAUUUUAAUCUUUGAUUUGGUAAGUGUAUUGAUGCUCGUUUUUAGUAACUUUUUAUGUUUUUAAGGUCGUAUCAAUUUGGUCUAUCUAAAUCAAGGACCAAUUGGUGAAACUUUUAAAUAUUAUAAAAUUUUUCAUUGAUGAAUGAGGUUAUUUCUUAAAGUUUAUGAUGAAAUAUGGAGCUUUGUUGAUAGAUUAGAAUAUUUUGAAAAGUGAUUUUUGAUGAUUUUGAUGUUUAGGGAUUAAAUUGAUUAAAUGAUAAAUUGUUUGUACUUGACGUGAAAUUAUUACAAAUAGGGAUUUAUAUGAAGUUAUAGAAUAUUUCGGUAUCAUGGGUGUUUAGGAAAAAUGAGUAAAUUGCAUGAUUAAGGCCUAAGGGUUGAAUUGAAUAAAAUGGAAUUUAAGGGGCAAAUAGGUAAAUUGCCAAAAAGGACUUAGUUGCAUGAAAGGAUCAAAUUGUGUUGUUGUCCUUAUUGAUGGAAUGAAAUUAUUUUUUUUAGAUCGAGAACGUGCUGAUAAUCGUGAAAAUGAGAAAACUACGGAAUAGUCCCUGUAUUUUGGAAUCUUCUGCAAUUCAGUCCAGUAAGUUUGUAUGUUUAUUUAUACUCCUAAAAUGCUUAAAUUCUUGUUAAUAUUCUCUUAAUGAAUGUUGUUUCAUAUAUUGAAAGUACACUUUAUCGAGCCAAAUCUUACUGUUAUACUGAAUGAAACUCAAUCGAACAAAUCAUACUGUUAUACUGAAUGGAGCUUAACUAAGCAAAUCUUACCAUUAUACUGAAUAAUGUUUAAUCGAGAAAAUUUUACUGUUAUACUGAGUGAAUUUCAAACGAGUAGAAGUCUAUGGAUAUACUAAUGAAAAACUCAAUCGAGCAAUGCCUACUGAGUAUAUUGAACUACCGAAUUGGUUUUAAUUAUUGUUAUAAGCUGCGUAUAAUUUGUUCAUUUUGUAGAUCACAUUUUGAAGGCUAAGAAUAUCGGGUCAACGCUAGGAAUCACACUAUCUGAGAAUCUUGGUAGACUUAAUUUCUCGAUUUUGGUAUAUGGCAUGUACUAGGACCCUAUGUAUUGUUAUGAGAAAUGCCUAGCUUAUGAGUAAUAUAUUGUGAUAUGUUGUGCACUUGAACAACUUGUGAUCUCCUACUUGUUACUUAAAUAUGUUUGAUAGGUCAUAGUAUGAAAUGAUAUGCUAUGAGUUAACUUGAGCUUGAAAUGAAAUGGAUGUUUGUUUAUAAAGAUUGAUGUGUUUGUAGCUACAAAUUGGAAAUAAAUUGUGAUGAAACACAUUGAGGUGCCAAGGUUAAUAAAUGUUUGAUAUAUAGAAUGAAUUUAUGAUUAUCUUGAGUGUGUUUGAAGUUGAAUUGCACCUUCCAUAUGUGUAUUUGAAGUGUGUGGGUACCUAUGCAAUAAGGGAGUAAAAUUAAGCAAGAAAUGGAUCAUUUUGGGUUUACAUGGCCUGAGACGCGAGCGUGUGACUCAGCUGUGUAAGGCACACGAUCUUGCGACUUGCGAAAUUGUCGUGUGCCAUCUGAGGGUCUUUUGUAUGCAAGUCAAUGAGUUAUACGACCUAGCACAUGGGCAUGUGACAUGGCCGUGUGACCCUACUCAGAGAGUUACACGGGUGAGGACACGAGUUGGGACACGGCUGUGUGUCCCUUGUUCAAAAGUUUCAUGGCCUAGGAGGUUCCACACGACUGUGUGUCCUUUGUUUUCGAAUUUUUCUUCUUUUUACUGAAUUUUCAAUUUUGUUUCGAUUUAGUCCUGAAUUACGCCCAAGCUAUUUUUAGGGCCUCGAGGGCUCGGUUUAGGGAUGAAAUGUAUGAGAAUGAAUGGUUAUGAUAUUUUUCUUGAAUUUAUUGAAUGUUAUGAUGCUUAAAGGUUCUAAUUGAUCGGUAAUACUUUGUAACCUUAAUUCGAUGACGGAUAUGGAUUAGGGGUAUUACAGAGUGUUUGAGGUUGAGAUGAUUGAGACUCUUUUUUUAAAGAUAAAUGUUAUAAUUUUUUUCCAUGGUUUACUUGCUGCAAUGUUUAGGUUAAAGUGUUGUUGUGUUGGAUGAUCGCUUGGGAUAAGUUAAUUGAUUUUCUUUAUUUAAGUUUGGGGUUUUAUAUUAUUUUUUGCAUGGGUAAAUUAGGUAAAAAAAAGGAAAUCUAUUUCAGGAAUCACCGAAUAACCCAUUCAAAUGUAGGUGUGCUGAAUGGUGAUUACGAGACUUUGUCGCUUAGUCCUCGAUUAGGCCAUUCGAUUGAAUGGCCAUUAGCCCAACCAAAUGCUUGCUUCACUGUGGCAGCUUGAAUACACCCGAAAUGGCUCAGUCAUUCAGGUGAACCAAACAACACAAUAGUUUAAUAGUAAAAACACUACUAAAUUGUUAAAGCAAUUAUCCAAAAUUCAAUAUUUUCAAAAGCAAACACCCCAGUGGGGAAAUUGCUUGCUAGAUUAAUAACAUAAACUCCUCAAAGACACUUAACCAAAUAACAAUUAAAAAGCUGACUUUAGAAACUCUUAAAUCUUUGAAGAAUAUAUUACGAAAUCUCUAAAGUGUUAGGAAUAUCUGAAGCAAUUGAAACUCUCUACAUUUAUUAAAAAUUUAUGAACCAUUUUCAUUGAUCUAGUAGAUAAAAAAAAGACUUAGUGUACAACAUGGAGGCUUCCCCCAUUCUUUUGUCUUAGAUAAGGUCAUUUUAUAAUCUCUUCCUCGACUAGUGGCAAUUGUUAUACAUAUAAAAUAUCAAGUCUGUAACGAUCCAAUUUUUAGUGGUACCGAAAAAUGCAAUUUCGGAACCCCAUUUUCAUAAAUCAAGUUUGUAAGUAUAAAUAUAAUAAUAUUUAUAGAGUUAAUAUAAAAAUAUAUUGAAUAUUUUUGAGUAAUUUUUUCAAAUUAAUAGUUAAUUAAGACUUUGGACUAAAUUGUAAAAGUGCAAUCUCUAUAGAGUUUUAAUUGAUAAAAAGUUUAAGGAACUAGAUAGCAAUUAACAAAGGGUCAAAAUGGCUAAUAAACCACUAUUAAGUACAAGUUAAUGUAAAAUGAUGGCAAUCUCCAACUAAAUAAAAUUAAAAGUGGAUUAUGGUAAUUAAUUAUGAAUUAUUAUGUUAAUUGUUUACUAAUUAAACUAUAUAUAUAUAUAUCAGUUUAAGUAGACAGAAAGAGAAGAUCAUCAUCUUCCUUCCCUUUUGGCUUACUCUAUAGAAAGAAAAAAGGUUGAAGAAGCUUUCAAACCCUUGGUUAUUCGGUUAUACAUUUAGGUAAGAAAUCCAAAUAUUUUUCUUAUAUAUUUUUUUAUAGAUUUGUGAUCAUGGUAGCUUUAUUUAGUUAUACCAUGUACCAAUUUGAUCAACUAUUAAAGUUUUAGAAAGUUGUCAUUAUUGAUUAAUUAGACUUGAAAUUGGUAGAUUUUAAACUUGGAUUAUAAAAAUGACUAGAUUGUAAACUUAAUUUAGCUUGUUUGUUAACUUUGUUACAUUAGGGACCAAUUUGAAUAAACGUAACACCUAUCAUGAAAUUAUGUUAUAAAUAAAAAAUAUAAGGUCUCUAAUGAGAAUACGUGAAAUCGAAUUUUAACCUAAAGCUAGAAAUUGGAAGUUAUGGCUAUCCUAAGUUUAGGACUAAAUUGAAUAAAAUAAAAAAUGAGAAAAAAUAAAAGAUGGACUUAUAUAAGAUCAUGCAUAUCAUGAAAUUGUACAAAAAUUUUUUUGUUUUGAUUUGUUAAACAAAAUAAUUAUAUAGAUCAAUAUUUGGAUCAAAGUGAAGCUAAUAAGGAAAAAAACGAAAAUUAUGGAUUAGUCCUUGAAGGAUCCACUCGUUUUGUAUUUUAAAAAGGUAAGUUCAUAUGAUACAUACUACCUCAUCUUGUGUAAUAUGUGUUUUUGGGUUUAAUUUUACACACACACAUACACGUGCUUGAGUAUACCUUGAAAAACUAGUGAAUUUGGCAUAUAAGGCUAAUAAUGGAUUGAAUUGAAAUGUUAUGUGAUAAUUGACUAUUGUGAGUUUAAACUCUUAGGAGCUACCUAGUAUGGUGUAGUUUACCCGUGUAUUAGAGUUCGUUUUACUAGGGUUCCAUAGGGCAAAACAUUAUAAUUGAAAUAUGAAACUUGAAAAUGUAAUGAAAUGGAUUCGAUAAAAUAAUUUGAUAUAACGUUGAAGUGAAUUGUAUAGAAUCGAUAUAAUCUUAUAGAUUGGUAAUGGAACAUGACAUUGAAAAUGAGCUAUGUGAAAUUGGCAUGUUCUUACAGAUUAAUGAUAGACUAUUGACAUUGAGAGAAGUUAUGUGAAAGAGAGAUAAUUUGGUUUGUUUUGAGCUUGCUUAUAAUGUCUAAUAAACAUAGAUACUUAUGCUCACUUGUUAUUUUAAGUGUCAUAUCCUAGCCAAAAUUAUGUCAAAACUAAGGUAGUUAACAUGCUUGUGUAUGAACAAAGUAAGCAUAGUAUUUUCCAUUUGAACUUACUAAGCAUUUAUAUGUUUACUUUAGUUGUUUUUGUUAGAAAAAAUCUGAUUUGAAAACAGUUUUUUGGCACAGUGAAAAAUAAAAAUUUUAAAAACCGAGUCAGUUUAUGAUAUUUAUAGCAAUAAACCCUGAACCAAAUUUGCACCUAUGUUUUCUGAUAGACGGAUCCUUGUCGUUCCCGACUUUCAACCAAAUGGCUUUCUCUGCUAUUCUUGUACCACGAAAUGCUUCAAGUGUGGCUCUAACAAUUUGAAUCAAAACACAGAACUAGAAAUAGUUUUCUUUGUUUAAGUGUGAAAAUGAAAAAUAUCUUCUCAAAUAGAAACUGGUAGAAUUGCUAUUCUGGAAAAUAGAUUCAAUAGUUAAGAAUUAAUUCUCUCUAUUUUCGUGUAGAGUAACAAUAUCUUAAAAUUCUGUAAAUAGCUCUACCGGUGCCAUCUAUUUAUAGGAGAAGGAGGUAAAACCCUUAUUGAAUUGUAAAAGUUUAUUUCAACUAGAAAACGAACUCCUAGUUUAUCUAGUAGUAUAGGGGGUGGCAACCCUAGUUAAUAAUACUUGAGUUUGUCGUCCCAUUCAUUAACAUGAAGGGCUUUUGGGCCUCUCCCACAUGGGGUCCAAUUACAACUACUUCCUAGCUUUUAACCCAAUAUUUUAUAAAUCAAUCCAACUUGAUAUUUAUUUUUCUAUUUCCCAAAAUAAACAUUUCAAUAAAUAUCCAAUUAAAUAAUAUUCUCAACUCAAUUCUAAUUUCGUUAAAAUCAUGAUGACUUUACCGUAAAAGAAUCUAUGAGAAAAUAUAUUUAAUAUUUCUACAUUCAACUGUUCACUAUGACCAAAUGGUUUAUUUCCAUUUUCGAAUUUCAUUUAAUUCGAAAAACAUAAAUUCAUUUCCAGGUUAUUUUCAUUUUUCAUUUUGGACAAAACCAGAUUCAUUUCAAAAUAAUUUCAUUUCUUCAUUCAAAACCAGAUUCAUUUCAAAAUAAUUUCAUUUCUUCAUUUACAUUUUGGAGAAAACCAUAAUCAUUUCUGAAUGUCAUAAUCAUUUCCAAAUGUUUCUCAUUUCUCGAUUUUCACCAUUUUUAUUCAUUUGAUUCAAUAUGCAAUUAAUUUAUUGUUUUAAUGAGCUAGUGGAGAAUUAAUUGGACAUAUACAAUUGAGGCUCUAAUGAUUUAAAAUUAAGUUUAAGGUUUUCGCCAAUUAAUUAUAAACUCAUUUAGUCACAAAUUCAUUCCAUUAUAGUAUUGUGACUGAUCUCUUCCCAAUGACAUACCAUUAUGAAAGCAACUCGAUCAGUGCUCAUCCAAUAACAUUGUCAUAAGUGUGUUACCUUCAUAGGAUAUCCUUAAUCUCUUUAGGAUAAUAUUCGUUCUCCCAUAUGAUCCUACUUAUCUCAUAGUAACCAUUAUAUUUUCCUUCAUGAAAAGUCAAUUACUAUCAAAUAGUAAUCAAUUCAUUCAUCAUACAGAUGAAUGACCCGUGACCACAUUUACUUUUCAUCAACCAUGUAAAGCCAAUGAGAGGAUAUCAUUUACCCAUGUCUUGGGCUAUGAAUUCCACUAUUGCGAAUGACGUUGCAUACUGUAGAAGUCGUAUACACAGUGCACCAACUUUCAUUUCCUUAUCUAUUUGAACUCAGGCUUUUACUUACAUCAAAGUAUAUAAGUCACACAUACAUAGUCUGUCAUCCGCUCAGGAUUUAAGUAUGUCACACUAUGAACGUUAUAAGUAAAUAAAUCCAUAAAUGAAUUCAGGAUCUAUUCUUCUUGGGUCAUGUCCAAUGUACUAUCAGUCCAAUCAGUCACAUCUAUAUCUCUAUCUUUUGGGAGUCAUCCGCUCCUAUGCCCAAGACAAAACAUCUCCCCGGUUGGAUUUGAUAGGCGACAUAUUAGUCUUUCAAUCAGUUUGCUCAUUUUCGAUUAUACUAAAGACAUAUUUAGGUUCGUCUACUAAUAUAAGUUAUCUUUCUAUAUUACGAUCUAACCACAUAAUACCGCUUAAUAUUAAUUUAAACAUUAGACAACCAGUGAGAAACAUUUGCUUUUAUUUUUCUUUGUGUGCAAAAAUCAUAUGAGGACAAUUAUAUAAAGUUUAUUAAUGUAAUUACAAAUUUAUUUUAUUAACCAAUCUGUUCGAAAAAAUUACAAGUAUACAUAGACGAAAAUACUACACUUAGGGCACCAGAUCCAACAGUUUUCCCUACUUGUAGAUCAUCACCUUGUGGAACUUGCGGAGCCAGAUCAAUGAGAAGCACACAUACCAGGACGGCGAUAGAAUUAUAUUGAUUUUGAGUCUAAAUAUUGUGGCAUGUAUCUAAGGGCAUUUUUGGAUGGAUAGUUAUGUGACAUUUAUGGUUAUGGUAUGUUUGAAUGUUAAGCAUGAGAUAUAACUUAGUGCAUGCUUUGUUUGAUUCGCGUUAGGGUGUGAUUGGUUCCCAAAUUGCAUAAGUAUUGUAUGUUUGAAAUGGAAAAUGAAACAAUUUGGUAUGACUAGUUUGAUAAAGGGUUGAAUAUGCUUAAAUGAUAAAUAUUUGAUUGGUACUA